GAACGGCAGCACGGACUUCGGUCUGGUGGCGAGUGGCGAACGGGUGAGUAAUGUAUCGGAACGUACCUUUCAGUGGGGGAUAACGUAGCGAAAGUUACGCUAAUACCGCAUAUUCUGUGAGCAGGAAAGCAGGGGAUCGCAAGACCUUGCGCUGAUUGAGCGGCCGAUAUCAGAUUAGCUAGUUGGUGAGGUAAAGGCUCACCAAGGCGACGAUCUGUAGCGGGUCUGAGAGGAUGAUCCGCCACACUGGAACUGAGACACGGUCCAGACUCCUACGGGAGGCAGCAGUGGGGAAUUUUGGACAAUGGGGGCAACCCUGAUCCAGCCAUGCCGCGUGAGUGAAGAAGGCCUUCGGGUUGUAAAGCUCUUUCGGCCGGGAAGAAAUCGCAUGGGCUAAUACCCUGUGCGGAUGACGGUACCGGCAUAAGAAGCACCGGCUAACUACGUGCCAGCAGCCGCGGUAAUACGUAGGGUGCGAGCGUUAAUCGGAAUUACUGGGCGUAAAGCGUGCGCAGGCGGUUUUUUAAGACAGGCGUGAAAUCCCCGGGCUCAACCUGGGAACUGCGCUUGUGACUGGAAGGCUAGAGUAUGGCAGAGGGGGGUGGAAUUCCACGUGUAGCAGUGAAAUGCGUAGAGAUGUGGAGGAACACCAAUGGCGAAGGCAGCCCCCUGGGCCAAUACUGACGCUCAUGCACGAAAGCGUGGGUAGCAAACAGGAUUAGAUACCCUGGUAGUCCACGCCGUAAACGAUGAGUGUUAGGUGCUGUGGGUAUUGACCCCCGCGGUGCCGUAGUCAACACGUUAAACACUCCGCCUGGGGAGUACGGCCGCAAGGCUAAAACUCAAAGGAAUUGACGGGGGCCCGCACAAGCGGUGGAGCAUGUGGUUCAAUUCGAAGCAACGCGAAGAACCUUACCUAGACUUGACAUCCCCUGCAUAACCCAGAGAUGGGCGAAGUCCUUCGGGACAGGGUGACAGGUGGUGCAUGGUUGUCGUCAGCUCGUGUCGUGAGAUGUUGGGUUAAGUCCCGCAACGAGCGCAACCCUUAUCAUUAGUUGCUACCAUUAAGUUGAGCACUCUACUGAGACUGCCCGGGUUAACCGGGAGGAAGGUGGGGAUGACGUCAAAUCAUCAUGCCCCUUAUGUCUAGGGCUACACACGUGCUACAAUGGUGAGUACAAAGAGAUGCAAGAUCGCAAGGUGGAGCCAAACUCAAAAAACACUUCG
rnacentral:rRNA from 1 species